UCAGUCGACUCCUACGGGGAGGCAGCAGUGGGGGAAUAUUGCACAAUGGGCGCAAGCCUGAUGCAGCCAUGCCGCGUGUAUGAAGAAGGCCUUCGGGUUGUAAAGUACUUUCAGCAGUGAGGAAGGCAGGUACGUUAAUAGCGUGCUUGUUUGGCGUUAGCUGCAGAAGAAGCACCGGCUAACUCCGUGCCAGCAGCCGCGGUAAUACGGAGGGUGCGAGCGUUAAUCGGAAUUACUGGGCGUAAAGCGCAUGCAGGUGGUUUGUUAAGUCAGAUGUGAAAGCCCGGGGCGUCAACCUCGGAAUUGCAUUUGAAACUGGCAGACUAGAGUACUGUAGAGGGGGGUAGGAAUUUCAGGUGUAGCGGUGAAAAUGCGUAGAGAUCUGAAGGAAUACCGGUGGCGAAGGCGGCCCCCUGGACAAAGACUGACGCUCAGAUGCGAAAGCGUGGGGAGCAAACAGGAUUAGAUACCCUGGUAG
rnacentral:rRNA from 1 species